GACGAACGCUGGCGGCGCGCCUAACACAUGCAAGUCGAACGAGCGAGAGGAGGUUUACUUUCUCAAGCGAGUGGCGAACGGGUGAGUAACGCGUGAGGAACCUGCCUCAAAGAGGGGGACAACAGUUGGAAACGACUGCUAAUACCGCAUAAGCCCACGACCCGGCAUCGGGUAGAGGGAAAAGGAGCAAUCCGCUUUGAGAUGGCCUCGCGUCCGAUUAGCUAGUUGGUGAGGUAAUGGCCCACCAAGGCGACGAUCGGUAGCCGGACUGAGAGGUUGAACGGCCACAUUGGGACUGAGACACGGCCCAGACUCCUACGGGAGGCAGCAGUGGGGAAUAUUGCACAAUGGGGGAAACCCUGAUGCAGCGACGCCGCGUGGAGGAAGAAGGUCUUCGGAUUGUAAACUCCUGUUGUUGAGGAAGAUAAUGACGGUACUCAACAAGGAAGAGACGGCUAACUACGUG
rnacentral:rRNA from 1 species